rnacentral:rRNA from 1 species
UACGUAGGGUGCGAGCGUUGUCCGGAAUUACUGGGCGUAAAGAGCUCGUAGGUGGUUUGUCGCGUUGUUCGUGAAAACUCACAGCUUAACUGUGGGCGUGCGGGCGAUACGGGCAGACUGGAGUACUGCAGGGGAGACUGGAAUUCCUGGUGUAGCGGUGGAAUGCGCAGAUAUCAGGAGGAACACCAAUAGCGAAGGCAGCUCGCUGGGACGGUACUGACGCUGAGGUGCGAAAGCGUGGGGAGCAAACAGG